UACGAAGGGGGCUAGCGUUGUUCGGAAUUACUGGGCGUAAAGCGCACGUAGGCGGAUUUGCAAGUCAGGGGUGAAAUCCCGGGGCUCAACCUCGGAACUGCCUUUGAUACUGCCAGUCUAGAGUCCGGAAGAGGUGGGUGGAAUUCCUAGUGUAGAGGUGAAAUUCGCAGAUAUUAGGAAGAACACCGGUGGCGAAGGCGGCCCACUGGUCCGGAACUGACGCUGAGGUGCGAAAGCGUGGGGAGCAAACAGGAUUAGAUACCCGUGUAGU
rnacentral:rRNA from 1 species